rnacentral:rRNA from 2 species
UACAAGUACCCGUGAGGGAAAGUUGCAAAGAACUUUGAAGAGAGAGUUCAAGAGGGCGUGAAACCGUUUAAAAGAAAACAGGUGGAGCUGAUGGGAAGUCCAAGGGAUUCAGCUCAUUAUGGUGUGAGUACUUCUCGGUCGAUCGAAUCACGACCUUGAGGUGGAUCUUGCUUACCCUCUGAGUGCAUUUCCUUUGGAUGGCGCUAAGUUCGGUGACUAUGCUGGAAGUAAAAUCGGGGAUGCCGGCUGCUUUUUAAGCAGUGUCCCACCCUCUUUUGAAACCGAGUCGGUGUUACCGUUUCUGUGUCCGCAUCUAGCUCGGUAGCAUUGCUGCUGUAGUGACUGAACGACUGUUCCCUGCAUGCAGGUUUCGGUGAAUCUUACUGCAGUUUGUAGUGUGGUCCGAGCUGACACGAUAGCUUGGUGUAUAUGUCAGCCACCCACCUGACCCGUCUUGAAACACGGACCAAGGAGUCUAACAUGUCCGCGAGUUAUUAGGUUUUCAAACCUAGAAGCGCAAUGAAAGUAAAAACUGGCUUUGUCAGUCUAUAUGGGACCUUUUGCCGUAUGGCGAUUGAGCACCAUAGUCCCGUCUUAUCUGCUUGUCAGGGAGGCGGCGAUAGAGCGGACAUGCUGGUACCCGAAAGAUGGUGAACUAUGCCUGAGCAGGAUAAAGCCAGAGGAAACUCUGGUGGAAGUCCAUAGCGGUUCUGACGUGCAAAUCGAUCGUCAGACUUGGGUAUAGGGGCGAAAGACUAAUCGAACCAUCUAGUAGCUGGUU